GUGUGGGGAUUUAGUUUUGAGAGGACUAAUUUUGAGUUUGUUCUGAGAUUGGUUUGGUCUGUUUUGUUUUUUAAACAAUAAUUGCGGAUAUACUUAUAAUAUCUUGUUCGAAUUGAAGUUAUAUACACUAACAUCCUAAAGGUCUUUUUAUAUUAUUCUGUGAUAGCAUGUUCAUUACCUAUUUUUACCAAGAUAAAUAAGUGAUCUGUGUAGAAAUAUGCACGUGAUUAUUUCCUUUAGUACAGCUGUAUAAUUCUCUAUUAGAGAGUGUAUAUAAAUAGGUGUAGAAGCUAAUGUAUUUUUCUUCUUCUUCUAAGCUAAUACAGAGAAGCGGUUAUAACAGAUUUCCUCUCAACUGUGUCUUCUUCUUCUUCUUCAACUCUUUGAGUGAGAUUUCUCUCCUCGUUAAUGGAGGAUUUUUACAUGGUAUCAGAGCUGGAGUAGAUCGAUCUAGUUAGGAAAUUACUAGUUCACUCGAAGAGACCUGGAAGAUAUCGAAUUUGGAUAUUGAUAAUCCUUGUCAUACUGUUUUUGCAGUCUUCCGAUAAUCCUAGCAAUAUCGAUUCAGCUCAAGGAAUUGAAAAUUACUCAGUUUGGAGCAAGGCGAUGGUGAUUGUAUUGCGAGCAAAGCGCAAGCUAGGGUUCAUCGAUGGGAGUUGCACAAAGGCCUACUUUACAACAGAUCUGGAAGAGGAAUGGGAACGAGUAAAUGCGACUGUGCUAACAUGGAUUAUAAAUAAGUUUCACCAGAUUUGGUGAAUGGAAUAGUGUAUGCGAGUGAUGCUCGUGAGGUAUGGGUAGAUCUGCAGGAUCGAUUUGACAAGGUGAACGAAUCGAGGAUCUACAACCUUCAACGUGAGAUAGCUACCAUCUCACAAGGUACCUUCAGUAUUUCAGUGUAUCAUUCUAGGUUGAAAUUACUUUGGGAUGAAUAUAACUCUAUGAAACCUUCACUUCCUGGUACGGCUGGUACUAAGGAGUUUAUAGAACAUCUGGAACAGCAAAAGCUUUUUCAAUUUUUAAUGGGCUUAAUUGAGUCAUAUAAUGCAAUUAGGAGUCAGAUUCUGUUUCAAGUUCCAUCACCUUCUGUUAGUCGUGCUUAUGCAAUGAUAAUAAAUGAGGAGAAUCAAAGGGGGAGUCUUUGAAAAUAGUUAACAUGUUAGCAUAACAAGUGAGGUAAAUGAUUCAGCAGCUUUACUGAGUGCCAAAGAUAAACAACAACCUUGUAUAAUCCCACUUAGUGGGGGGUCUGGGGAGGGUAGUAUGUACGCAGACCUUACCCCUACCCUUGGAUACUGAGGCUGUUUUCAAAUAGACCCCGACUUCCUUCCCUCCAAGAACUUCCCUCCUUGCUCUUAGGGAGACUCGAACUCACAACCUCUCAGUUAAAAGUGGGGGUUGCUUACCAUUAGAGCAACCCCUCUUGUCUCAGCCAAAGAUAAUCAGCCAAAAUUUAAGAGAUUUAGCAACUUCUAUUGUGAGUAUUGUCGAAUUAAGGGAUACAAGGGCAACUUGCUACAAACUGGUUGGAUAUCUCCCUGGCUUUAAAGGAAAGAGACGACAGCAAUAUAGGCAGGCUAAUGUGGUUGUGGGUGAUGAUAGUUUUGGUAAGGGUGUUGGUGGAAACGAGAAUAAUGUGGGGAAGAGUCAAGGAAUGCUGAACUUCUUUACAGAUGAGCAGUAUAAUCAGAUUAUGAAGAUGAUCAACAAGGAUAAACCAGAAUAGCAUUCAGCAAUGGCAGGUAAUGUUAAUUCACAAUCAUCAGAGACUGUAUAUGACUUGUGGAUUUAGACACUGGUGCCACUGAUCAUAUGGCAUCAAACAGUGAAAUGUUGAAAGUUGUGACUAGUCAGUCUGACUCCAGGGGAGGUAAUGUGAAUUUUGCCAAAUGUAGGACUGUACCUGUCAUUUGUAAAGGAAGUUAUAAGCUCACAGAACAUGAUGAAAUACAUGAUGUGUUAUGUGUGCCUGUGCCUGAUUUCAAGUACAACUUGUUGUCUGUGUCAAAAUUAACUAAAGAGCUGCAAUGCUCAGUUAAUUUUUUCCCAACAUUUUGUGUAUUUCAGGACCCGUACACUGGGAGAGUGAAGGGGAUUAAUAAGGAGAAAGGUGACCUCUAUAUUCUAAUUCCAAAAGGAUCCAAUAAAAAUAGAGUGGCACAGAGAAUCAAUAGCUGUUUGGUGGAUGGAAUGCAGGCAGAUUUCAUUACCUGGCAUAAGAGACUUGGGCAUGUAACCAGUCAAAGUCAUGAAACAACUAGACUUCCUUAAGAGUAAAAGGAUUUCUGAUUGUGAACUCAAUAGUGUAUGCAACAAACAAGGAAGCCAUUUCCUUUGAGUAGCAGUAGGGCUGAAGACAUUUUUCAUUUGAUUCAUGUGGAUAUUUCGGGCCAUAUAGGGUGCCUACAUAUAAUGAAAAUAGAUAUUUUCUAACUCUUGUUGAUGAUUAUUCUAAGAUGAUUUGGACCUUUUUAAUGAAGUUGAAAAGUGAUAUUGUUAUUGUGUUGAAAUUAUUUUUUAGGAUGGUGCAUACACAGUUUGGGAAAACUGUAAAAAUAUUGAGAACUGAUAAUGGUGUUGAGUUUUUUAGUCAUGAAUACAGAAACUAUUUGAUAGAUAAUGGCAUCAUGCAUCAAAGUAGUUGUCCACUUACUUCAGCAAAAUGGAGGAGUGGAGAGGAGGCACAGACAUGUUUUGGAGGUGGCAAGAGCGUUAAGAUUUCAAGGAUCCAUUCUCUUGCAUUUCUGGGGAGACUGUGUAUUGGCUGCAGUUUAUCUGAUCAAUCGACUGCCUUCUUCAAUUCUAACAGGAAAGUCUCCAUAUGAGAUCUUUCACAAGAAACCACCCAACAUGGCACACUUGAGAACUAUUGGAUGCUUGUGUUUUUCCACAGUAACUGAAAGGGUUGAUAAGUUUUCUCCAAGAGCCAUUAUUGCAGUUCAUAUGGGCUACUCAGAAUCCCAAAAGGGAUAUAAGUUGUAUCAUCUGGGGCAAAGGAAGUUUUUCAUCAGAAGAGAUGUCACAUUCAAGGAGGAUAUCUUUCCCUUCAAACUGGGAAAGGAUGAUGCACAACUAACUCCUAUGUUUUUUGAGUUGAAGUCACAAGAUGAAAGUCAUUCUUUGCAGCAACACCAAACUCACAUACCAGAGGGGGAGCAUGAGGGUGUUAAUCAGGAUCUUGUGCAGGAUCAUGACUUGGUACAACAAGAAAGUGAUCAAAGUCCUGAUGAACAAACACCAGUUGCUGAAGCUAGUAAUUAUGAGCAGGAGUCAAGCACAUGAGGCAUAGAUGAUACUCAACUUGACCAACUCAAAAGAUCUAGUAGAAGUUCUAAUAAAUGUGCAGAAUGAGCACGAUAAUCAACAAAAUUCCUUUGGAGCUGCGGCUGUGGUGGGAUGAACUCGGAGAAGCCGGACAGAUUUUCUGAGAAUAAUUUUAUUGUAUGAUCGAAAUCCGGAUGAACUAACACCAGUUGUUGAAGCUAGUAAUUUUGAGCAUGAGUCAAACACAGGAGGCACAGAUGAUACUCAACUUGAACAACUCAGAAGAUCUAGUAGAAGUUCCAGACCACCUGUUUGGAUGAAAGAUUAUUUUUGUCCACUCAAUGGAGCAUCUUCAUCUAGUUGUCUAUAUCCAAUAUCCAACUAUUUGAGUUAUGCUGCCUUGUCGACCAAUUAUCAAUCCUACUUGACAGCAACGUCACAGGAUACAAAGCCUACAUCAUAUGCAGAAGCCAUGAAGUAUCAAGAUGGAUUGAGGCAAUGAAAGCAGAAGUGGAUGCCUUGGCGCUGAACAACACUUGGGAGAUAGUGGAUAUUCCUAAAGGUAAAGUGCCUAUGGAUGUAUAUGGGUGUACAAGAUCAAGUACAGAUCAAAUAGAGAUGUUGAAAGAUUUAAAGCUAGACUUGUUGCCAAAGGAUACAGCCAGCAGGAAGGCAUAGACUACUAGGAGACCUUUUCUCCAGUAGUUAAGAUGGUUACAGUGAGAACUAUUAUUGCAGUAGCUGCUAUGUAUUAAUGGCCAUUAUUUUAAAUGGAUGUCUACAAUGCUUUUCUUCAAGGUGAUCUUGAAGAAGAAGUCUAUAUGCAGUUACCACCUGGUGUUGCCAGCCAAGGGGGGACUUCUAGAUGCUGCAGGUUACUCAAAUCUCUUUAUGGACUCAAACAAGCUUCAAGACAAUGGAACUUGAAGCUCACAAGUCCCUCUUGCUAGCAGGCUUCAUUCAAAGUAAACAUGAUCACUCCUUGUUCAUAUAAAAAGGAAAAUGGACAACAGGUCAUUGUGCUUGUAUAUGUGGAUGACCUUCUUAUCACUGGGAUGACAUUGCAUUGAUUCAACAAGCGAAACACCAAUUACACAUGGCUUUUAAAAUCAAGGACUUGGGAAACUUGAAAUAUUUUCCAGGCAUUGAAGUCUGCAGGUCUGGAAAGGGAAUUUUUCUAUGCCAGAGGAAGUAUGCUCUUGAACUUAUAGCUGAGGUAGGCUUAUCUGGUGCUAAACCUGCUGUUACACCAAAACAACAACAACAACAACAACCCAGUAUAAUCCCACUUAGUAGGGUCUUGGGAGGGUAGCGUGUACGCAGACCUUACCCCUACCCUUGGGUAGAGAGGCUGUUUCCAAAUANNNN
rnacentral:lncRNA from 1 species